rnacentral:rRNA from 1 species
CAUGCACGUCGAACGAUGAAGCCCAGCUUGCUGGGUGGAUUAGUGGCGAACGGGUGAGUAACACGUGAGUAACCUGCCCCCGACUCUGGGAUAAGCCCGGGAAACUGGGUCUAAUACCGGAUAUGACCUCGCACCGCAUGGUGCGGGGUGGAAAGAUUUAUCGGUGGGGGAUGGACUCGCGGCCUAUCAGCUUGUUGGUGAGGUAAUGGCUCACCAAGGCGACGACGGGUAGCCGGCCUGAGAGGGUGACCGGCCACACUGGGACUGAGACACGGCCCAGACUCCUACGGGAGGCAGCAGUGGGGAAUAUUGCACAAUGGGCGCAAGCCUGAUGCAGCGACGCCGCGUGAGGGAUGACGGCCUUCGGGUUGUAAACCUCUUUCAGUAGGGAAGAAGCGAAAGUGACGGUACCUGCAGAAGAAGCGCCGGCUAACUACGUGCCAGCAGCCGCGGUAAUACGUAGGGCGCAAGCGUUAUCCGGAUUUAUUGGGCGUAAAGAGCUCGUAGGCGGUUUGUCGCGUCUGCCGUGAAAGUCCGAGGCUCAACCUCGGAUCUGCGGUGGGUACGGGCAGACUAGAGUGAUGUAGGGGAGACUGGAAUUCCUGGUGUAGCGGUGAAAUGCGCAGAUAUCAGGAGGAACACCGAUGGCGAAGGCAGGUCUCUGGGCAUUUACUGACGCUGAGGAGCGAAAGCAUGUGGAGCGAAUAGGAUUAGAUACCCUGGUAGUCCAUGCCGUAAACGUUGGGCACUAGGUGUGGGGGACAUUCCACGUUUUCCGCGCCGUACCUAACGCAUUAAGUGCCCCGCCUGGGGAGUACGGCCGCAAGGCUAAAACUCAAUGGAAUUGACGGGGGACCCGCACAAGCGGCGGAGCAUGCGGAUUAAUUCGAUGCAACGCGAAGAACCUUACCAAGGCUUGACAUGUGCCAGACC